GAUGAAGAACUUAGCGAAAUGCGAUACGUAAUGUGAAUUGCAGAAUUCAGUGAAUCAUCGAAUCUUUGAACGCACAUUGCGCCCGCCAGUAUUCUGGCGGGCAUGCCUGUUCGAGCGUCAUUUCAACCAUCAAGCCCCCGGCUUGUGUUGGGGACCUGCGGCUGCCGCAGGCCCUGAAAAGCAGUGGCGGGCUCGCUGUCACACCGAGCGUAGUAGCAUACAUCUCGCUCUGGGCGUGCUGCGGGUUCCGGCCGUUAAACCACCUUCAUAACCCAAGGUUGACCUCGGAUCAGGUAGGAAGACCCGCUGAACUUAAGCAUAUCAAUAAGCGGAGGA
rnacentral:misc_RNA from 1 species